UACGGGGGGGGCAAGCGUUGUUCGGAAUUACUGGGCGUAAAGGGCUCGUAGGCGGCCAACUAAGUCGGAUGUGAAAUCCCCAGGCUUAACCUGGGAACUGCAUCCGAUACUGGAUGGCUUGAAUCCGGGAGAGGGAUGCAGAAUUCCAGGUGUAGCGGUGAAAUGCGCAGAUAUCAGGAGGAACACCGGUGGCGAAGGCGGGACUCUGGGCCGAUACUGACGCUGAGGAGCGAAAGCGUGGGGAGCAAACAGG
rnacentral:rRNA from 1 species